rnacentral:rRNA from 1 species
AUUGAACGCUGGCGGCAUGCCUUACACAUGCAAGUCGAACGGUAACGCGGGGCAACCUGGCGACGAGUGGCGAACGGGUGAGUAAUGCAUCGGAACGUGCCUGGUAGUGGGGGAUAACUGCUCGAAAGAGCAGCUAAUACCGCAUACGACCCGAGGGUGAAAGGGGGGGAUCGCAAGACCUCUCGCUAUCAGAGCGGCCGAUGUCGGAUUAGCUAGUUGGUGGGGUAAAGGCCCACCAAGGCAACGAUCCGUAGCUGGUCUGAGAGGACGACCAGCCACACUGGGAAUGAGACACGGCCCAGACUCCUACGGGAGGCAGCAGUGGGGAAUUUUGGACAAUGGACGCAAGGCUGAUCCAGCCAUGCCGCGUGCGGGAAGAAGGCCUUCGGGUUGUAAACCGCUUUUGUCAGGGAAGAAAUCUUCUGGGCUAAUACCCUGGGAGGAUGACGGUACCUGAAGAAUAAGCACCGGCUAACUACGUGCCAGCCGCCGCCGUAAAAC